ensembl:misc_RNA Metazoa_SRP Metazoan signal recognition particle RNA
GCUGGGUGUGGUGGUGCACACCUGUAAUCCCAGCUACUCUGGAGGCUGAGGCACAGGAAUCACUUGAACCCAGGAGAUGGAGGUUGCAGUGAGCCAGGAUCAUGCCACUGCACUCCAGCCUGGGUGACAGAGUGAGACCCUGUCUCAA